GGACGCAUAGCUCAGAUGGUAGAGCAGCUGACUCUUAAUCAGCGGGUCCUAGGGUCGAGCCCUAGUGCGUCCA
rnacentral:tRNA from 1 species